GACGAACGCUGGCGGCGUGCUUAACACAUGCAAGUCGAGCGGUAAGGCCCUUUCGGGGGUACACGAGCGGCGAACGGGUGAGUAACACGUGGGUGACCUGCCUUCAGCUUUGGGAUAAGCCUGGGAAACUGGGUCUAAUACCGGAUAUGACCUUGGGGUGCAUGCCUUGGGGUGGAAAGCCUGUGUUGUUUGGCAUGGGUGGCUGGGGAUGGGCCCGCGGUCUAUCAGCUUGUUGGUGGGGUGANGGCCUACCAAGGCGACGACGGGUAGCCGGCCUGAGAGGGCGUUCGGCCACACUGGGACUGAGACACGGCCCAGACUCCUACGGGAGGCAGCAGUGGGGAAUAUUGCGCAAUGGGCGGAAGCCUGACGCAGCGACGCCGCGUGGGGAUGAC
rnacentral:rRNA from 1 species